rnacentral:rRNA from 1 species
GCACCUGAGAUGAAGUAGGACCACCCGCUGAACUUAAGCAUAUCAUUAAGCGGAGGAAAAGAAACUAACUAGGAUUCCCUCAGUACGGGCGACGGAAGCGGGAAAAGCCCACAUUGGUAAUCUCCGGGGAGAACCUCGGCGAAUUGUAAUCUGAAGAUAGCUGGCCUAAUUGGGAGAGUCGCAGAAGUGUCCACGAGCGGACCGCCAAAGAGGGUGAGAGCCCCGUCUGUGGUGACGCUCCUACCGGC